GUCCCGACAGUAAACGUUGGACACUAGGUGUUGGAGGUCGACCCCUUCAGUGCCGCAGCUAACGCAUUAAGUGUCCCGCCUGGGGAGUACGGCCGCAAGGUUGAAACUCAAAGGAAUUGACGGGGCCCGCACAAGCGGUGGAGUAUGUGGUUUAAUUCGACGCAACGCGAAGAACCUUACCUGGGUUUGACAUGCACGGGACGGAUGCAGAGAUGUAUCUUCCCCUUCGGGGGUCCGUGCACAGGUGCUGCAUGGCUGUCGU
rnacentral:rRNA from 1 species